ACUUAAUUUGUCUAUCAGGGCCCUCCAUGAAGCCACCCUUUUUCUGUGGAAAAUCUCCUAUCUCCAUAGUCUCCAUGGCCCCAAUUGUCAAGGGAGAUGAUUCUACUCUUGUUGGCUGGAGGUUGAAACAAAGCCAAGGAGAAUCUCUUUAGGCCAAGAGACUUGGCUAAGCAAGAGGAGCUGAUGGGGCACAACACUGAAGCUAGCUCCUGGAGAAAUGGCUGAUCCUAUGUUCGAGACAGGGAAUAUACAAGAUGAGCCUGGAACAUCUUGCAAUUCUUAAAAGUCAAGCUGGUCUUAAGUGUUUCAAUGAUCUGAUUUCAAAGAAUAGACUUUGAAUAGAGAAAAUACUACUGUUAUAGAAGAAAAACAAGGCAGAAACAAACAAACAUGGCAGACACCACUUUAACCAAGAGAUCAAGAGACUAAGGUUGGCAUUCUCAGCGGUCAUGUUGACAUCUUGUACUUAUCUCAGUAGGACAGGAUUUGAAGAGCACUUCACCUGUGUGAUUUUUUUUCCCCCAAGAAAACCUAUGACCUCAAUCUAAUUAUGAGAACUACCUCAGGCAAACUGAAACUGAGAGAUGUUCUACAAAAUACCUGACCAGUACUCCCUCAAAACUGUCAAGGUCAUCAAAAACAAGAUUGAAGAAUUGCCACAGACCGGAGGAGACUCAGGAAGUUGACAACCAACUGCAAUGUGGCAUUCUGGAUUGGAUCCAGGAACAAAAAGAAGAAAAGCUGAUGAAAUCCAAAUAAAGACUCGAGUUUAGUUAGAA
rnacentral:lncRNA from 1 species